rnacentral:rRNA from 1 species
AGAGUUUGAUCAUGGCUCAGGACGAACGCUGGCGGCACGCUUAACACAUGCAAGUCGAACGAGAGAAGAGGAGCUUGCUUUUCUGAUCUAGUGGCGGACGGGUGAGUAACACGUGAGCAAUCUGCCUUUCAGAGGGGGAUACCGAUUGGAAACGAUCGUUAAUACCGCAUAACAUAAUUGAACCGCAUGAUUUGAUUAUCAAAGAUUUAUCGCUGAAAGAUGAGCUCGCGUCUGAUUAGCUAGUUGGUAAGGUAACGGCUUACCAAGGCGACGAUCAGUAGCCGGACUGAGAGGUUGAUCGGCCACAUUGGGACUGAGACACGGCCCAGACUCCUACGGGAGGCAGCAGUGGGGAAUAUUGCACAAUGGAGGAAACUCUGAUGCAGCGAUGCCGCGUGAGGGAAGAAGGUUUUAGGAUUGUAAACCUCUGUCUUCAGGGACGAAAAAAGACGGUACUUGAGGAGGAAGCUCCGGCUAACUACGUGCCAGCAGCCGCGGUAAUACGUAGGGAGCGAGCGUUGUCCGGAAUUACUGGGUGUAAAGGGAGCGUAGGCGGGAUCGCAAGUCAGAUGUGAAAACUAUGGGCUUAACCCAUAAACUGCAUUUGAAACUGUGGUUCUUGAGUGAAGUAGAGGUAAGCGGAAUUCCUAGUGUAGCGGUGAAAUGCGUAGAUAUUAGGAGGAACAUCAGUGGCGAAGGCGGCUUACUGGGCUUUAACUGACGCUGAGGCUCGAAAGCGUGGGGAGCAAACAGGAUUAGAUACCCUGGUAGUCCACGCCGUAAACGAUGAUUACUAGGUGUGGGGGGACUGACCCCUUCCGUGCCGCAGCAAACGCAAUAAGUAAUCCACCUGGGGAGUACGACCGCAAGGUUGAAACUCAAAGGAAUUGACGGGGGCCCGCACAAGCAGUGGAGUAUGUGGAUUAAUUCGAAGCAACGCGAAGAACCUUACCAGGUCUUGACAUCGUAUGCAUAGCUCAGAGAUGAGUGAAAUCUCUUCGGAGACAUAUAGACAGGUGGUGCAUGGUUGUCGUCAGCUCGUGUCGUGAGAUGUUGGGUUAAGUCCCGCAACGAGCGCAACCCUUACUGUUAGUUGCUACGCAAGAGCACUCUAGCAGGACUGCCGUUGACAAAACGGAGGAAGGUGGGGAUGACGUCAAAUCAUCAUGCCCCUUAUGACCUGGGCCUCACACGUACUACAAUGGCUGUCAACAGAGGGAAGCAAAGCCGCGAGGUGGAGCGAACCCCUAAAAGCAGUCUUAGUUCGGAUUGUAGGCUGCAACCCGCCUACAUGAAGUCGGAAUUGCUAGUAAUCGCAGAUCAGCAUGCUGCGGUGAAUACGUUCCCGGGCCUUGUACACACCGCCCGUCACGCCAUGGGAGUCGGUAACACCCGAAGCCUGUAGUCUAACCGCAAGGAGGACGCAGUCGAAGGUGGGAUUGAUGACUGGGGUGAAGUCGUAACAAGGUA